GGUGGUAUAUUUUUCUUUAUAAUGAUUAGCUAUACCAAUUUGAUUAUGACGAAUAGAAGUCGGUGAGUGAAACAAACUGACAAAUAUUUUUUUUUUUAAAAUCUAAAGAGAAUAUGAAGAACAUCAACAUAUUUGCCAUUUCUUUCGAGAUUAAGAAUCAUAUAAUUUACCACACUCAUGUUUCCACUCACAUUUCAACUGGCGAAAAUCUUGACCAAACCACUCGACAAUACACACUACUAUGAAGGUGGAUAUAUAUUGAGAAAAUUUGGAUUAUUAGAUAUGAGAAUUCAAUAAGUUCUCA
rnacentral:lncRNA from 1 species